AUGGGAUACUUGGGGCUGGGGGGGGCGCAAAGUGGAGUAAGGCAGACCCCAAACUGGGGGCUGAGCAUCCCAAACUGGAGCAGCGUGGGCUGGAGGGGGAAAGGUCUGCUGGAUGCUCCUGGGCCACGCGGCUUGCUGAUGCUGAGGACUGCAAAUUGUGCAGAAAGGACUUCCAGCAGAGGAGGUGCAGGCACCUGGGUGCUGCAGGGGCAGAGCACCCCCCCGGGAGCCAGUGACCGCCCUGAUCCAAGCCAAAGCUGCAGGAGCCCUGGCUCCCUGCGCUGUGGCUGCCAGAUGGCAGCGAGUGGAGGCUUCUGUGCCCGUCUCUCCUGCCAGCGCAUCACGACCACUUGGCUGCGUACGGAGGAGAUGCUACUUCCAUCCGUCUUGAGUGCUUUGUACCGUCUGCAGCAGGAGCCCACGGCUCGAGAUGCUGCCUGAGCAGGCUGUGUCCUUUGUCAUCAGAAAAUUAAAAAAAUAAAAAAAUAAAAAAAAUUGCCA
rnacentral:lncRNA from 1 species